CAACCCUCAAGCUCUGCUUGGUGUUGGGCGUCACCAGCCUUGGUGUGCCCUAAAAUCAGUGGCGGCGCCGUCUGGCUCUAAGCGUAGUACAUACUCUCGCUAUGGACGCCUGGCGGAUGCUUGCCAGCAAACCCCUAAUUUAUCAA
rnacentral:misc_RNA from 2 species